AUUCACGGAGAGUUUGAUCCUGGCUCAGGACGAACGCUGGCGGCGUGCUUAACACAUGCAAGUCGAACGAUGAACCGCUUUCGGGCGGGGAUUAGUGGCGAACGGGUGAGUAACACGUGGGCAAUCUGCCCUGCACUCUGGGACAAGCCCUGGAAACGGGGUCUAAUACCGGAUAUGACUGUCCAUCGCAUGGUGGAUGGUGUAAAGCUCCGGCGGUGCAGGAUGAGCCCGCGGCCUAUCAGCUUGUUGGUGAGGUAGUGGCUCACCAAGGCGACGACGGGUAGCCGGCCUGAGAGGGCGACCGGCCACACUGGGACUGAGACACGGCCCAGACUCCUACGGGAGGCAGCAGUGGGGAAUAUUGCACAAUGGGCGAAAAGCCUGAUGCAGCGACGCCGCGUGAGGGAUGACGGCCU
rnacentral:rRNA from 1 species